GAACGCUGGCGGCAUGCCUUACACAUGCAAGUCGAACGGCAGCACGGGAGCAAUCCUGGUGGCGAGUGGCGAACGGGUGAGUAAUAUAUCGGAACGUGCCCAGUCGUGGGGGAUAACGUAGCGAAAGCUACGCUAAUACCGCAUACGUCCUACGGGAGAAAGCGGGGGAUCUUCGGACCUCGCGCCAUUAGAUGAGCCUAGGUCGGAUUAGCUAGUUGGUGAGGUAAUGGCUCACCAAGGCGACGAUCCGUAACUGGUCUGAGAGGAUGAUCAGUCACACUGGAACUGAGACACGGUCCAGACUCCUACGGGAGGCAGCAGUGGGGAAUAUUGGACAAUGGGCGAAAGCCUGAUCCAGCCAUGCCGCGUGUGUGAAGAAGGUCUUCGGAUUGUAAAGCACUUUAAGUUGGGAGGAAGGGUAGUAACCUAAUACGUUGCUACUUUGACGUUACCGACAGAAUAAGCACCGGCUAACUUCGUG
rnacentral:rRNA from 1 species